AUUUUGAUAACAUAUUGUAACUAGUUUUGAAAUAUCAGUCAUAAUAUCUCUCUUGAAUUUUAGUCAGCAGUGUCCUAGUCUUUCUCGGUGCCCCUAAUUCUCUCUCUCAGAGUCCAGUCCAUCGAUGGCUUCGCAAAUGGCGAUCUCUUCCGCAUGUGUUCCGUUCUCUUCCCCAAUCUCUCUUCCCUCAUCAAACCAUAUCCACUUUCCGUACUCCAAUAGGAGCCUCAGCUUGCGAAUCCCGCUCCUCUCCCUCCCAAUCCCGCCUCCGGCAGCCCUCUCUACCACCAAAACUGGCGCUUCUCUUCCUCUCUUUAUUUCUUUCUCCUUUGAAACCCUCCCUUCCUGAGUGAUCGGUUUUUCACAGCCACAAGUAUAUCCUUUCCAACCUACUCCAGCACCGGUGCCAACACCCCUGGCUGGUUGGAUGUCAAAUCCAACAACUGUUGCACAUCCUACAGUCUCCGGUGGAGCUAUAGGUCUUGGUGCACCGUCAAUCCCAGGCCUUUAAAGUGUGGGAUCUUUGUGCUUGUUCAAUGCCCUUUCAGGUUGCCUUUCUCACCUUAUUUGUUGAUUACCAAAUCCUCAGAACUAUUGAGUUUGCAAUGAUUGAAAACAAAAAUAAUGAUAAUCGAUUCAGGCUGCUCUUGUCAAAGAUCGAGGUGUUUCUGUCAAUCGUGUGAUUUGGAGUCCUGAUGGGGCUUUAUUUGGAGUUGCUUACUUAAGGCACAUUGUUCAGAUAUACUCUUACCAUGGCAGGGAUGAAAUCUGACAGCAUUUGCAGGUUUGGGAUGCUGCUUCUGGAGCAAAACAGUAUACCUUUGAAGGUCAUGAGGCUCUACUUUAUUCUGUCUGUCCACAUUAUAAAGAAAACAUUCAGAUUCUGUGGAGACUUUGAUGUCAGAAACCCAUGAAUUGGGAGGUUCUGCGGUGGUGGUUGAUCGAGCAACACCUAAGGCAAGAGUUUUUAUUUUUUGUAACCUGUCAUUUUAUACAAGUUAUCCACAAUAUAGAGAAAUUGUGAGGAUGAUCUCGUCUAGUGUUUGGUCGUGGAGGUGAAGGAGAUGUUGGUCGAAGGAUUCGGGAUGAAAUACUUGUUAUUCAGAGAAAGAAUAAUUGCAAAGAUGGAAUGAUGGAGGAAUGACACCAAAAAUUACACAAUAAUACUAGACCUGAUGAUGUUGUGAUCUGUCAGAUAUUUGAUGACACGUCUUUAAUGGAGCAACAUGUCAUAAAGGAUGUUCGGGAGCAGUGACCUCUAUUUUGUUUAACCAUUUGUAAAUGAUUAGAUGUUUCAGUAUUACAUUUUGAGUUUAGGAACUAUUUUAUGUGUAAAUCACUAGUAAAAAAUAAAGUUUUUAAAUCGCCCAUUAUGCCUUAGUUUUCGAAAAUCUGAGACAUAUAAAAAUGCGGUGGCAGAAUUGUGAUUUUAUAGGCACUAUAUGCCUCGGUUCUUCUAAACCCGCUGUCUAAAAGCGUAUACGGCCUCGG